GUCCAGACUCCUACGGGAGGCAGCAGUGGGGAAUAUUGCACAAUGGGGGGAACCCUGAUGCAGCGACGCCGCGUGGGUGAAGGAGUAUUUCGGUAUGUAAAGCCCUAUCAGCAGGGAAGAACAAUGACGGUACCUGACUAAGAAGCACCGGCUAAAUACGUGCCAGCAGCCGCGGUAAUACGUAUGGUGCAAGCGUUAUCCGGAUUUACUGGGUGUAAAGGGGGCGCAGACGGCGAUGCAAGCCAGGAGUGAAAGCCCGGGGCCCAACCCCGGGACUGCAUUUGAAACUGUCAGGCUGGAGUGCAGGAGAGGUAAGUGGAAUUCCUAGUGUAGCGGUGAAAUGCGUAGAUAUUAGGAGGAACACCAGUGGCGAAGGCGGCUUACUGGACUGUAACUGACGUUGAGGCUCGAAAGCGUGGGGAGCAAACAGGAUUAGAUACCCCAGUAG
rnacentral:rRNA from 1 species